CACGAACCGUGAGAUCAUGACGUGAGCAGAAAUCAAGAGUCAGGUGCUUAGCUGACUGAGCCACCCAGGUGCCCCACAUCUUUAACUCUCUCUCCGUUUCCUUCUUUCCACUAUUGUCCUCACAUCUUCUGACUCUGAUGCUCCUGCCUCACUCUUAUAAGGACUCUUGUGAUUACACUGGACCUACCCAGAUAAUCCAGGGUAAUCUUCUCAAGACAUUUAACUUAAUCACAUCUGCAAAGUCCUUUUUGCUGUGUAAUGUAACAUGUUCCCUAGAUUUGGGGGAUUAGGAUAUGGACAUCUUUGGGGGGUCAUUAUUUUACUUACCACAGGGAACAAUGGGAAGCACUGGACUAUGGUAUUAAGCAUUCUCAUACAAUCCUACUAUUCUGAGACUAUGCUGAGGUCCAACUUCAUUGGAUUUGGGGAGUUCCUGACAUUUCUCAGCUAAAUUUUUAGAGGUUAGAAUGGGCUCCUCUAGAUCUCACAGAAUUCUCAGAGGGCACUUAUUACCUACAAGAUCUAUUGCUUUCUACUCGGGCAGUGGCAAAAGCUCCUGGAUGGAGGAAGAGAAAGGGCAUGUGUACUGAAGAAGGGGACUUUCCUCAAGACUCCUUCCCAGAAACAUCUUAUUCUCAGACACCAAAGUCAUGCAGAAGAAGGCCGUGUCAAUGGGUUAGUUACUUGUUUAAUCAAAAGUAGAGAUAACCUAUCGUUUGAAAUGGAAAUUAGGGCUCCAGAAUAUCUUAAAUGAGAGUGUUGCUACCCUGGGAAACCCCCUGUUGACUGGUGAGCAAGAAAGUAAGGCUUCAAGCAGUUGACCUUUUCAUAUUACCCGCUGUAUUUGUGACAGGUGCUAUGUUGUGUUUGAAGAAAUUGACACCCCCAAUUCUUCACUUUCCUGCAGAGAAAACUUGAUACCUUCUUUCUCUAAGGAUACUUUAACCUUGUUUCACGGAUGAUGGUAAUAACUCUUGACUUUGAACUAGUUUCUGUUGGGUGUGGGGGUCCCCAAAGCUGAUGACGUCACCAGAAACCAAACUGAAGACAGUUACUGAGAUUCCAUUAAUGCUACAUUAAGAAUUGUAAUUUCAGCUCGAGCACCUGAUUGCACCAAAGAUUCCAUUGCAGAGGAUGAGUAACUUAAAUUGUUGAGAGGUAAUUCCUCCUGAGGCUUUGGGGCUGCUUGGGAAAAUACGUACCAGAGGUCCCCAGGUAGCUUUUUCUCACCAAACCUCAAUAGCCUUUUCUUCCCUCCUAUUUUUUUCUCUUCUCCCCAUGGACACUGACUACCUUAGCUUAUUAAAUUUUUAAAAAAUAUUUUGGCUUCUAUGAUCCUUAUGUGAGCCUUAUGCUUCUUGUUCCUCUCUCCCAUUGACCACAUCUCUCUCGUAUUUCCUGGUUUUCUCUUUUCUUCACCUUCACUGUGGAUUCUCUUGAAGACACAGUCAUUGACCCUCUCCUCUUUUCUUUGUAUACUCUUUCAUCCAUCCAUCACACAUUUUUUUUAACGUUUAAAUAUUUGUGUUUGGAGACCUAUAUUGUACUCUGGGGAUACAGAAAGCUAUUAGACACAGUCCUUGUCUUCUGGGAACUCAAAAGCUAGGGAAAGAGACAGACAGGAAAUCAAUGAAUGAAAUCAAUGAAUAAUUCAUAUCUGAAGUGUAAAUGAAAUAUUUUUAUGGAAACCCAUGGCAGAGAUAUCUACGUGUAUUUCCAGUUGGGAUGCUUUCAGCUGCAAGUAACCAAAAACUCAAGAUGAUUUAAACAGUGAGGACAAAUACUAUUUCUUAAAACAAGAUAUCUAAAGAUAGGGGGAUCCAGUGGUUUGAGAAGCUCAUUAAGAGCCUGGGUGUUUUCCGUCUUUUUACAUGCCAUCUUUAGCAUAUUCCUGCAGGAUGGCUUCUGGCAGUGCAUUUAUGAGUAAGAAAAACCUACCUUCUAUGCCCUCUCCCAACUUCUCUUCAGGACUCAUGGGCUAAGAUUACCUACAUCAAUCACUGACAAGGGGAAUGAAAUUCCCAUGAUUGGCCUAGACCAGUGGAUCUCAAUUUUGGCUGGACAUGAAAAUCACCUGGAGGGGGCUUUUAAAAAGCCCAUACCCAGGGGCAUCCUAGAGCAAUUAAAUCAGAAUCUCCGACUGUGGGACCCAGGCACCAGUGUCUUUAAAGUUCCUCAGGUGAUUCCUCUGUGCAACCAAGGCUGAGAACCAGUGGUCUAGACCGGUCCCUCCGAUUUUCCCCUCUGGAGCAUGAGAGCGCCCAGCCUCCCUUAAGAACAUGAGUGUCUGCUCUAGGAAAAGAAUUGGGAUUCUGUAAGCAAGGAAGAAGUGAGGAAUAGCUUUUUGGUCCUUCAAGGUUCAAGCUCUUCUCAUCUUUGAAGGCCCGGUUCAGGCCCUAGUGCCUCCAAGGAGGCGUUUCUGCCUACUCCAGUGCUCUUGGAUUCCGACAGAUCGUGGUUGAACUCCUGACUCUGCCACUUACCACCUAUGUUUCCUUGGCAGUUUGCAUAACCUUUGUUGACCACAGAGGUUUGCUAGAAUCAAUCAAGAAGAUGAUCCUCCGAGGCAUCCUUGGCCUGAACAUCUCAAAUGGCUUCCUUAAACACCCCAGCUGGUCCCCACAGAAAGUGGGGGCAAAGUCAGGAGUGUGAAGCGUAUGACGUGAAUGGAGAGAUUAGCCGUUAGAAAAGUUGUCACGUCUCUAGAAAUAACCGAGAUAUGUAGGUUAGAAGCAGAAUGGUCUAGUGUGCGAUGAGAGCCGGAAGCACCAAUCUUUGCAAGCGAAUAAAGUGAUCUGGAAAGCAAAGCUUCCUGAUCGCGUUCUCUGUACUCUGUGUCCUAGGUGUGGUCCUGUCUUGCAUCCUGAAAACGGACCUUACUUCUCAAAACAAAAUUGCCUCUUGAGUCCUAUUUCCAAGCUAUCUUUCGCAAUCUGCUAAACCCCUCACCAAGUAUUUAGUUCUUUUUUUCUUGUGAAACUGAGGGCAAUCUACUCUAAGAAGCUGUGAAGAUGGGUGGGAUCUCAAUAAAUGUAGGACUCCACUAUUUGAAAUGUAGAAGUAAAAUCAGUCCAGAGGCUUAUCUAACCCUCAGAAUAUAGAAGGAGCAUUGGACCUACAGAGUAUCCCAGAACUCAAAAUCUAGGGCCAAAACUAAUGCUGUGUUGCUCAUUGAUACCUCUUUGACAUAAAAUAGUUAAUUUUAUGUCACAAUCCCAUCUCACUUUGAUAUUUCUGCAACUGGGCCUUUUGUAUUCAGAAAGACAUGUACUUUUUAGAUUGCUUUGGGGUAAAAAAAAAAUUAACAAAACCCCAUGUGGGUGUGGGUGUUGGCUUUUCUGAGUUCAGUGUUGGAUGGAAAAUUCAGAUUACUUCGCAGCUUGAGUCAUCUGAAAAAAAUUGGAUUUGCUCAUUUGCAGGUGGAAAAUUUAAUGUGCCCAUUAAUCUCUUCAGAUGAUGACAUUUAAAGGUGAAAGUGGUAAUGGUACUGGGAAGGUGUACCUGGGGAUCAUGAUCUUCAUGGUGCCGGGGCAGAGCACUAGCAUUGUGGUCGUGUGAAUUAGCCUUGUCAAAGGCAGAAGCCAGAGUCCUGGUAUGGUUUCCCUGUAGAUUGAUAAGGGAAAUUUCCCAUUACAGCUGGUGGGCAUAUGAUGUAGUGGAGAUUCGUAAAUAGAAUACUUGGGACCUGAGAUCUGCUUUGUGCUGGACAAAUGGAUAUUUUCUAACUUGUGGCUGGUGUCUAGGGAUGGGGACCCCACCAGCUUUCUUAGUAACUCGUUCCGUUUCCCGGGAGGUCAAAAAACUUUAUUUCCAACUAUGUCUCUUUUACUUGAAUUUUGCCCAUUUCUCCUUGGUCAGUGUUCCACUUACAUUGAAAAGAACUUCUCAGCCUUGUCCUCCUCAAAUCCAUUCGUGGACUAUUGGACCAUACUCUUCAAGUCUUCUCCAGAUAAAAUAGCUUUCUGCAGUGACCGUGUAGGCCUUUGUCAAUUC